CGGACUUCUCUUGAACUGAAUUUUAAUGUGCGUAUUGCUAUGCGUUUACUUUUCUACAUUGGUUAGAGGUAUAGGGGUAGGGUUGAGAUCUCACAAACAUGUUUAACCCCGCCGCAUUUUUGCGCCUGUCCCAAGUCAGGAGCCUCUGGCUUUGUUAGUCUGUAUUAUUUUAAUUUUAGUUUCUUGUGUACAAUUUGGAAAUUAGUAUGGCGUUCAUUAUCACUGGACUAGUAUAUAUUUGUUUAGGGGCCAGCUG
rnacentral:lncRNA from 1 species